rnacentral:lncRNA from 1 species
CCCCUUUAAAAAGAAAAUAGGGUACUCACCACUGGAUUACAGAUCUUCUUUCCCAUUUUCCAAGAGGAGAGCAAAUAAAAUUUCUGAGCAGAAGUGCUUCUCUGGCUAACUGUCCUGGGUGAGGAGGACAUUGCUAUUCCAAUAUUUUUAUUUCAGACUUUCAGGCCUUCUCAGAUGCUUAACUUCACAGAGUCAUUUUGCCUACUUUCGUGGCGAUACAACAUUGUAAACUGCCAGGGAGAAAAAAAAGCAGCAGCACAGGCUGAUAAGGUUUCAGGCGGCAUGAAUAUGUUCUGACUCCCUCAUCAGGGAUUUCUUUCACAUGUGAAAAGCAGAUGGAAGAGGGACACGGUUUAUUUCUUGAUCAUCAAAUGGUACAUGGACGCCCCUAGGACCUGUGGGAAUGAUCACCUUAGUCAGGGACACCUACGAGAAGUCCAUCAAUCUCGUGGUCUGCUGGCCACUUACUCAGCCAGGCUGCCCCAUUUAACACGGCAGGUGAGUGAACAGGCAAGGGAAUGAAUGAGCCUGGACAUCCACAAGAAGAGCUAUUUUCCUAGGGGAGGCAGGAAGAAGGGUAUAAGGAUUCCCAAGAAAGCAAGAAAAGAUAAUCAAGGUGGCCAAGAAAAAGAGCUUCAGAGCAAUUACUAAAAGCAGUUUUUCUACUAGGGAGGAAUGAUCCAUGGAGGGAGACUUCCUAAGGAAGUGCAGCAGAGUCUAUGGAAGAAGAGAAUGGGUUAGACUGGGAUGAAAUGGAGGUAUUAUCCCUGGGGCUGGUAACAAGGCUCAGAGCCCCAGACCCUGGCUCUAAGAGCUAAAUACCAUCCCUGCCAUCCACAGGAAGUACCCACUGGCACAGCUGAGAUGCA